AUUGAACGCUGGCGGCAUGCCUUACACAUGCAAGUCGAACGGCAGCACGGGAGCAAUCCUGGUGGCGAGUGGCGAACGGGUGAGUAAAGUAUCGGAACGUGCCCAGUCGUGGGGGAUAACAUAGCGAAAGCUACGCUAAUACCGCAUACGAUCUAUGGAUGAAAGCGGGGGAUCGCAAGACCUCGCGCGAUUGGAGCGGCCGAUAUCAGAUUAGGUAGUUGGUGGGGUAAAGGCCCACCAAGCCGACGAUCUGUAGCUGGUCUGAGAGGACGACCAGCCACACUAGGACUGAGACACGGCCCAGACUCCUACGGGAGUCAGCAGUGGGGAAUUUUGGACAAUGGGCGCAAGCCUGAUCCAGCAAUGCCGCGUGCAGGAUGAAGGCCUUCGGGUUGUAAACUGCUUUUGUACGGAGCGAAAAGGCUCUCUCUAAUACAGGGGGCUCAUGACGGUACCGUAAGAAUAAGCACCGGCUAACUACGUGCCAGCAGCCGCGGUAACAC
rnacentral:rRNA from 1 species